rnacentral:lncRNA from 1 species
GGCAGCAGCUGCGGGUAAGGCACAAAGGAGCUUGGUAUGGUGCCUUGGCUAGUUACACUUGAUAUUCUUCAGGAAAUAUGCAGAAAAGAAAAGCACACAUGUAAAUAGAUUGGAAUCAAUCUAUUGGUGGACUACUUGUGUGACUACAAGGCAGUGAAGCAUAUGGAAUUUUAUCUUGUAAAAUGAAAAUGAUGGCUAGAUUCUACAAAUACUUAGGAACCUUUGCAAAAUCUCAAGGGCCCAUGACUGUUUCAGCAAUUCUUUAAUAGUGAGCAUAAUUAUUUAUCUCAGGUAAAUAAAGGCAAAGCAAUAAUUCCAAAAGACAAUAACAAAACUUCAAAACCUGCCAUUGCCAAGUACAUUGUAAAGAAGGCCAAACAAAGGAUAGUUCUGCAGAGAUGGCAAGAUGAACUCAGCAGAAGACAGAAUAAUAAAGGAGUGAUAUUUGUUGAAAAUAGGGUUCACUUAGAAGGCCCACCUUCAGACUUCUGCUAUAUUGAUGAAUACAAACCAGCUCCUGGAAUCAGCUUAGUAAAUGAAGCUACCUUUUGUUGUUCAUGCACAGAUUGCUUCUUUGAAAAAUGUUGUCUUGGUGAAGCUGGAAUUCUUUUGGCUUAUAGUAAAAACCAACAAAUUAAAAUCCCACCUGUUACUCCCAUCUAUAAAUGCAUCUCAAUCUGUCAAUGUGGACCUCACUGUACCAAUAGGAUUGUACAAAAAGGCACACAGUAAUUCACUUUGCAUCUUUCACAGUAUCAAUGACCAUGGCUGGGGUGUAAAAACCCAUGUGAAGAUUAAAAGAAUAAGUUUUGUCAUGGAAUAAGUUGGAAAGGUAAUCACAAGUGACGAAGCUGAAAGAUGAGGGCAGUUAUAUGACAACAAAUGAUCUGGACUAUGAAUCUGAUGAAUUCACAGAGGAUGCAGCUCAAUAUGGAACUGUAUCUCAUUUUGUGAAUCAUAGUAGUGACCCAAAACUUCAUAUGUUCAAUGUUUUCAUUGAUAACUUGACACUGGCCUUCCCUAAAUAGCUCUGUGUUCCAUGAGAACUAUAAAUGCUGGAGAAGAGUUGAUUUUUGACAAUCAAACAAAAAGUUCUGGGGAUAUAUCUUCAGAGUUUAUUGACCACAGCUCAGCCAAAAAGAGGGUCAGAACUGUAUGUAAAUGUGGAGCUGUGACUUGCAGAGGUUGCCUCAAAUGA